ACUGGGUUUUCACUGCCACAUCCGUCAAUCAGUUUCAAUCACUUGCCAAUCAGGUUAACAGAACCAGAAGAGGGGCUUUGUGCUCUAUUUAAAAAAUUAUAUGUACCUCAUUGGAAUGUUAUUAAUCUAUGAGUUUAUACUACGAGAAAUUCUUCUUGUUCUACACGCUUGAGCCUCUGAUGGUCAUGAAUCACUGCUAAUCUCUUAGAAACAUAUUUCUCCAGAUAACAUCAGUUCCUCUCAGAAUACAAAGAGGAGAGGAUUGCAUUUCUUUUAUGCUUCUGCUGAGAAAAAAUGUAGACAUUUCCUUGAGACAGAAGAAGUUAAGAUCACUUGGGGUUGAUACCUGGCUCAUAAACAGGCAGUUCUUUGUGUAUAAACCCAACUGACCCAAAGCAGCAUAUGGCUUGUUCCUUGUAGUAAUUGUGUGUUAAGACAAAACUUCCCAUAUUUUUCCUUUACUCACAUUUGCUAGUCACCACUAAACUGAACAAAAUCUAUCUCCUUUGACAGAGUGGUAACUUAUUCUUUGAUGAUAGUUUAUAGUAAUCUCUGAAAAUAUGAUACAUAAUAAUGCUAAUACUAUGAGAAUAUUUAUCCUGGGUGUUAUUUAACUAGUUAUGAAAGCACUUGAAGUUUUA
rnacentral:lncRNA from 1 species